rnacentral:misc_RNA from 1 species
AAGUCGUAACAAGGUUUCCGUAGGUGAACCUGCGGAAGGAUCAUUAACACGUAUCCAACGUUAAAACCCCCUGUGAACCUUUAGUGUGCUCCCUCAUUCUGUUGGAACGUGGCAAUCCCGGGGGCGUGAGCCCGGUGACCCGGUCGCCGACCGUGUCGGCCUCUAGCGAUCGUGACUGCGGCAUUCUUACAGAGCCAGUGACACUUUCAGACACUAACAAGCAGAGGAAUGCCAGGCCACUUGCCUCGCGCUACAACCAGCACUCUUUGCAGAAGUCCCUGAAUCAAAACUGUUCGGCGAUGAUUUACCAUAUCACCCCUUUGCAUGAAAACGGGCCUGCGCUUAAUUGUGCGGCCAUAAACCGAACAACUGUUAACAAUGGGUAUCUUGGUUCUC